CCUACGGGAGGCAGCAGUGAGGAAUAUUGGUCAAUGGGCGGGAGCCUGAACCAGCCAAGUCGCGUGAGGGAAGACGGUCCUAUGGAUUGUAAACCUCUUUAGGCGGGGAGCAAUGCCGGGCACGUGUGCCCGGAGGGAGAGUACACGCAGAAUAGGCAUCGGCGAACUCCGUGCCAGCAGCGGCGGUAAUACGGGGGAUGCGAGGGUUAUCCGGAUUUAUUGGGUUUAAAGGGUGCGUAGGCGGCGUUUUAAGUAAGCGGUAAAAUGUCCGGGCUCAACGCGGGACGGCAGUUGAUACUGGGUGUCUUGAGUGGGGGAGAGGGAGGCGGAAUGCGUGGUGUAGCGGUGAAAUGCAUAGAUAUUAGGAGGAACACCAGAGGCGAAGGCGGCUAACUGGACUGUAACUGACGCUGAGGCACGAAAGUGUGGGGAGCAAACAGGAUUAGAUACCCUGGUAGUC
rnacentral:rRNA from 1 species